rnacentral:lncRNA from 1 species
UUUUAAUUGAUUAAAAAUAGUUUCUGACUUUUAAAAAUGCUGAAAUUUUUUGUCAAACUUUGUUUGACCUUGUUGAGCUUAGGAUAAAUUACUUGGACCUUUCAAGAUUGAUUUGAAGUAAUUUUGAAGUUUGACCUUUCCAUUUACUUUUAGUUCAAGUUUAUUUUAAAUAUUAAAAAAUGCCAAAAAUAGUUUAUUCAUUUCUUG